rnacentral:lncRNA from 1 species
AGGGUUGAGGUGAUCAUGGUAGGUGCCACCUUGGAGUUAGGCAGCUCCCUUUUUUCCUUCUCUGGGGUCGUUUGCUGCUAGAAGUUACCAUUGUGGCAUUAGAAUAACACUGGUCAACACAGCCCUGGUGUCCUCAACUUCUCAGACUGACAGCUGGAGUUGCCAAUCUACUCUAUCAGAGUGAAUAAACGAAAGUAAAGGGUAGGGGUCGGCCCCAUGGCCAAGUGGUUAAGUUCGAGUGCUCCACUUCGGAGGCCCAAGGUUUCACCGGUUUGUGAUCCUGGGCGCAGACAUGGCACAGCUCACCAGGCCAUGCUGAGGUGGCGUCCCACGUAGCACAACCAGAAGGACCUACAGCUAGAAUACACAACUAUGUACUGGGGGGAUUUGGGGAGAAGAAGGAAAAAAAAGAUUGGCAACAGAUGCUAGCUCAGGUGCCAAUCUUUAAAAAAGAAAAAAAGACAGUAAAGGAUGCUGUGGGCCACACUUCAGUUUUCCUCCAGGACUUUUAAGAUGGUGUGGUAUAUGAGUAACCUUGAGGGAGAGGCCUGGGGUCAUUUAUUUCCUGUGUGGGGAAGGGAAAGCACUGACAGUCACCCUCCUGGAACACCCUGACCACCUGAGCUUCAAAUACUUGGGCGGGGGGUGACUAAUUCAUUUAUUGUUCAACUAUUAAUCGUGCCUCAGACCUUCAGCAGGAAAUGGAAGACCUAAUCUGGGGAAGGGGGGGAAGGGAGGCUUGGUGAAAUUCACCCUCAGGAAGGGGUGGGGUCACCAACAAACUACUUGAGGCUCUAGAGAACAUCCUGUGAGAUUCUGGGCCUUGUUCUUGAGACGUCCAUGCUGUUGCUCUCUCUCAGUUCAGCAGUGAAGCCCUUACCCUGAGAGGGCCAGAGCCCUCUUCUCAGAGCCAGCGGGAGGAGGCGCUGAGGCUGAGCCCCACUUUGGGUCCAGUCCUGAAGGAAGAAGACCUCAGAGGUGAGAGCAGAUGACAGCUCUGGAAGGGCCAGAGAGACAGGGAUCCCCUCGGGAGGAACGAGGGAAGAAGGUGAAUGCGGUGGCUUCCCCCUGGACCGCAGCCCCCGGGAGGUUUGCCCGCAGCGGGGUAAGUGGCCGUAGGUUCAGGGCUCCUCCCCGUGAUGCAGGCGCUUCAGUCCUGAGCCCACAGCACCGGCGCAGGAGAUGUUUCCCAGGUCAUCUGCUCACCUGCCUGGGCCACGCACUGUACCCAGGUGAAGCUUACUUCUGUCUCCCAGCUGCCGAACUUUGCCCUGCAAUGGAUGAAGAACCACCAAUACAAGGCAAUGCAAUGCAGUGCAUAUGUGUGUGUGAAGCACCCCCAGGGUGUCCACCAGUGUGCCAAGUGCUGUCCUAGGGAACAAAAUGAAUCUGACUUACUCUCUGCCCUCUAUGGUAAACAACCUCUGACUUGUGACGGGAGAUGAGGGAAAUCACGCACAGGUUAAAUGAGUUGACUGCUCCUUAGCAGAAGAACUAGGACUAAGUUCUUCUGCUUGUCUUAAAGUAGAUCAGUGAUUUAUUCAUCAAGAACAUCAGGGAGAAGAUGAGAGGCCGUGUCCACUCAGAUUCAGGUGCUAGAAAGUUCGGAUCCCCAUCUUUGAUUGCCUAGAUUAUUGGAAGGCCUCUUUAAAAGGAGGAAAAGAUAAUAGAAAGUAUCAGGGGGCAUUGCAUGUAACAAGAAUAAGAGCCAUUUUAUGAAACUUUGUAAUGUGCCAUAUAUGGAUAUUGGGUAAAAAUGCAACAUGUUUUGUUUACUAUAGGUCCCAAUCAAAAAAUAAGGCCAAAGCAUUUAAUGAGAGCUAGUGAUCUUUAUAAAAUGCAAAUCCGAUCUUUUAUGCUCUUGCUGAAAGCCCUCAGGAGACCACGGGGCCUUCAGGUCUUAGAUUUGAUUUGCUUCUUUAAUUUGCCUUCCUGUCAAUCAAGUCACCCCCUUCCUGCUUCCUUCUCCGCCCCUGCACCUGCUUGCCUCUUCUAGUCCUCAGGACUCAGCUCAGUGCUCGCUCCUCCCAAGAAGCCUUGUCUUACAAGAAAGUUGUUUCCCAGUCAGGACACGUUUGUGAAAAUCUGGACAAUACAAAGUUUACAGACUUCUGAAAGACGUAGCUUUUUACGGUUUUUAAUUUACCAACGCACUUGUGAUGAUGGAAGGAAAGGUGGGAAAUGCAGUGUCCAGUAUUUCCCAGACUGCGCUGUCCACACAGCUCCUCUGCUGCGGCAUGUCUCGCAGGCACGCCCUUUGGGAAGCUUGGAGCUUGCUCAUUUCUCAAAUGCUCGUGAUGGAAUCAGUGUUGGCAGAGAGAAGGCGAGUGGUCGCUCCAGGCAAAGGAAGUGUAACAAGAGUGAAGUCUGCAGAUUGGACGAAGCAUGUUUGGGAAAGUGAUCAUUUGAGGAAGUGUGAAAUGUUAAAGGGCAAGUAUAUUGGAAGUAUCACG